UCUGAGAGCAAUGCACUUUUGCCUGGGUUC
rnacentral:piRNA from 1 species